rnacentral:rRNA from 1 species
UACGGGGGGGGCAAGCGUUGUUCGGAAUUACUGGGCGUAAAGGGCGCGUAGGCGGCCUGCUAAGUCGGACGUGAAAUCCUGGGGCUCAACCCCGGGCGUGCGAUGGAUACUGCCGGGCUAGAGGGUGGUAGAGGCGAGUGGAAUUCCCGGUGUAGCGGUGAAAUGCGCAGAUAUCAGGAGGAACACCAGCGGCGAAGGCGGCGCUCUGGGCCGGUACUGACGCUGAGGAGCGAAAGCGUGGGUAGCAAACAGG